GCGCUGCUGAGGAGUCCGAUAAUAGGACGAAACGGCUGUCGAGUGC
rnacentral:hammerhead_ribozyme from 1 species